CAGGCCUAACACAUGCAAGUCGAGCGGGCUUACCCUUCGGGAUAGGUUAGCGGCGGACGGGUGAGUAACACGUAGGCAACCUGCCUGUAAGAUCGGGAUAACUACCGGAAACGGUAGCUAAGACCGGAUAGCUGGUCUCUCCGCAUGGGGGAAUCAUGAAACACGGGGCAACCUGUGGCUUACGGAUGGGCCUGCGGCGCAUUAGCUAGUUGGUGGGGUAAUGGCCCACCAAGGCGACGAUGCGUAGCCGACCUGAGAGGGUGAUCGGCCACACUGGGACUGAGACACGGCCCAGACUCCUACGGGAGGCAGCAGUAGGGAAUCUUCCGCAAUGGGCGCAAGCCUGACGGAGCAACGCCGCGUGAGUGAUGAAGGUUUUCGGAUCGUAAAGCUCUGUUGCCAAGGAAGAACGCCUCGGAGAGUAACUGCUCUGAGGGUGACGGUACUUGAGAAGAAAGCCCCGGCUAACUACGUGCCAGCAGCCGCGGUAAUACGUAGGGGGCAAGCGUUGUCCGGAAUUAUUGGGCGUAAAGCGCGCGCAGGCGGUCUUUUAAGUUUGGUGUUUAAGCCCGGGGCUCAACCCCGGUUCGCACUGAAAACUGGGAGACUUGAGUGCAGGAGAGGAAAGCGGAAUUCCACGUGUAGCGGUGAAAUGCGUAGAGAUGUGGAGGAACACCAGUGGCGAAGGCGGCUUUCUGGACUGUAACUGACGCUGAGGCGCGAAAGCGUGGGGAGCAAACAGGAUUAGAU
rnacentral:rRNA from 1 species